rnacentral:rRNA from 1 species
ACUGCUCAGUAACACGUAGCUAACCUACCCUUAAGUCAAGGAUAACCUUUGGGAAACUAAGGAUAAUACUUGAUAGAAGACUUACCCUGGAAUGAUUAGUCUUUCAAACUCGAGCUUAAGGAUGGGGCUGCGGCGGAUUAGGUUGUUGGCGGGGUAAUAGCCCACCAAGCCGAAGAUCCGUAAGGGCUCUUAGCGGAGAGGCCCUGGGAGGGAAUCUGAGACACUAUUCCCAGCCCCACGGGGUGCAGCAGUUAGGAAUAAUCUACAAUGCGCGCAAGCGUGAUAGUUUGAGCCAGAGUGCUUUUCAAUUAGAAAAGCUUUUGUGAAGUGCAAAAAGCUUCACGAAUAAGGACUGGGUAAGACGAGUGCCAGCCGCCGCGGUAAUACUCGCGGUCCAAGUCGCAGCCAUUUUUAUUGGGUCUAAAACAUCCGUAGCUUGUUUAGUAAGUCUCUUGUGAAAUUUUAUAUCUUAAAUAUAAAGCGAGCAAGAGGUACUACUAGGCUAGAGACUGGGAGACGUAAGAAGUACGUUUAAAGUAGCGGUUAAAUGUGUUAAUCUUAAACGGACUAACAAGAGCGAAGGCAUCUUACGAGAACAGUUCUGACAGUCAGGGAUGAAGGCUAGGGGCGCAAAACGGAUUAGAUACCCGUGUAGUCCUAGCAGUAAACACUGCACACUAAACAUCGGGACCUCUUCGUGAGGUUUCGGUGCUGAAGGGAAGCCGGAGAGUGUGCUACCUGGGAAGUAUAGUCGCAAGGCCGAAACUUAAAGGAAUUGGCGGGGGAGCAC